rnacentral:rRNA from 1 species
CAGGCCUACGGGGCGCAGCAGUGAGGAAUAUUGGUCAAUGGGCUUACGCCUGAACCAGCCAAGUCGCGUGAGGGAAGACUGCCCUAUGGGUUGUAAACCUCUUUUGUCAGGGAGCAAUUGGCGCUACGUGUAGCGUUAUCGAGAGUACCUGAAGAAAAAGCAUCGGCUAACUCCGUGCCAGCAGCCGCGGUAAUACGGAGGAUGCGAGCGUUAUCCGGAUUUAUUGGGUUUAAAGGGUGCGUAGGCGGAAUGCCAAGUCAGCGGUAAAAUCGCGGGGCUCAACCCCGUCGAGCCGUUGAAACUGG